CGUGCACUUACUAGACUGUCUCAUUCUAGUGUUUAAUGCUGAGGAAGACUCUACCUAUCAGCCUCUCCGAAGGACUGGACUAGGAAGGACACAGCCUCACUAGGAUGCAGCCUUCCAUUUGAGAAGCACCCACAAUCUCUUCAUAACAUUAAGGUGAUGCAGCUGAUGUGACAGAAGUGAAUUUUAUUAAAUGCUGCAGGUGAUCUUGGGGAAAGAAACACACCAGCCGGCCCCAGGGAGCCCACUGAUUGGACGGAGAGGAAACUCACCCAUGUACACCAUCUAAACACUGUGACCAGAGAGACUAGUGACUAAUCGCUCAGAAUGAAUGUGACAAACCCAGAGGAACUAAAGCGAAUAGACUUAUGUAAAUGCACACCUGUCUCUGGAGGGCCCAGCCGUGGCAUCUAACAUGAAUUAAUGAGAAAAUCUCUCUGCUCUCCCAUUAAAGGCUGCUUCGGUUUGUAAUAGACUGUAACAGUUUGUAACUGAUGGAUUAUUCAUGAAGAAGAAACUCAUGCAUACAAAAAAAUCUCUCUCCGAUCUUCAAGAAAAACGUUGUCAUUGUUUUAUUCUUUGUCAUUUUUAAGGCAAUCCAUUACAAAUUUCACACACCACGGGAAUGACAACAGCAAUGUUCUAUGUUCAGUUUGGAACAGCUCACCAUGCAUAUCGACUGAGAUAAAGAGAGGUAAAGAAGAAGAGAAAAAGAGAGAAGGAAAAUGAAUCCAGCAAGGAUGAGAUGCUUCAUGCUCUGUGUUCCGGUUAUGAGAUGAGCGGCAGAGGCUUAACGAAAAGCAACAGGUCAGUUUAUCACUGAACCCGGCGGCCAUUUUGGCACAAUCAUGCAUAUCUCACAGAGGGAAUGUUAGCACUGGACAAGGGCCACAUCUUUAGUACAUAAUUUACACUUUUUCAUACUAUUACCUCUUUGCAAUAAUUUUGUGAGCUACUUCACUAUGACUUACUGGCUUUAUUAUAGUGGGAUAAAAAAAAAAAUAGUAUUUGCUAAAUUUACACCAUGCUAUAAAAUUAACCCAUUAACAUUCUCUGGAUAGAGAUAUACAUGUGUUUCAGGAAGUCUGUAAUUUGUUUUUCGGAUUAACAAGCUUCCUAGCAGCCAUGUGUUCAUAAAUAUUAAAUAGGAUUUAAAAAAGGUUACAUUUAUGCUAGUAGAAAUUACAGGUUUACAUCUGAAAAGCAGAAUUAGUAUAAAGAAAAGAAAAAACACUUAAAAACACCAAAUAAAAAAAAAAGAAAACAAUAUCCAGUGAAGAGUAAAUCAGUCUUUAAAAUCAAUAUACCUGUUAACACUCUUAAACAAACCCUUUCGCCCAAUGCUCCCUUUGUCAGACUUCAUCUUCACCUCCUAAUUGAUUGAUGGAUCACUUUAUUCUCAGUAACUAAAAGUGUGCUAAUAACUCAAGGUAAGAGAGGCGCUCUUAAACACAUUGUCUUAUUACCUGGGAACAGUUUUCCAAAUGUAACAAUCUCUGCAAAAGAAGUCAUUCUUGUUGUAAAAGUGGGUUAAAAGGAGGAAUUCUCAUUUUGUAAACAUCUGUGCUUAAAAAAAAUGCAGUUCAACUUCACAGUUCAUAAUCUACAGUGUGUAAAAUAGAAGUAUAUUAACAGAUGCUUGCUCUAAAACCAAAACAUUGUUACAACUUGGGACAAACCAGCAAAGACAUCAAGAUUUACUGGACAAGAAGAAAAUGUAUCAAAACAAUGAAUAAGAACAAGUAUAAACAGCCCUGCUGUCAAAAAAAAAAAAACA